rnacentral:lncRNA from 12 species
AAGGUGUUUCCGUGAGAGCAGCUCACCUGUCAAGAAGUUCCCGAUGAAGCGUGCAUAGAAGGGAACCUCCCAGCUAACAAGGUUCCCCAGUCCUGAGCCCCGAAGAGGCGCCCAGGCCACUGAGGAGGCGGCCAGGAGGCCCCUGGUUACAGCAGCAUCCACGGAGCACCUCGGCACCUGGCCCACAUGGAGGGCGCUGGGUUGGCGGGGAGCCACGGAGGACCUCGAAUGGAAUGGACACGGGGACGCCAGCAGAUGUCCCAGGGACGUGCCGUAGAUCGCCCUUCACGCUGGGAUCUGUUCCUACGGGCCUCAUGCCGACCUCGAUCUGAGGGAAGACACGCUGCGGAGGACGGCUGGACUGAGCGCAGCCUUGCGGCCUCGGUUCCAGGGAGGACAGCCCAGGGCGCCCGAGUCCUGGUGCUCAUGACAGACGCCUGUGACACUGGGGACACAUGGACAUUUUCUCUGGAGCAGGACAAGUGAGGGCAGGUUCGCAGCCAGCCCACAGCGCCAGUGGCCCUCUUGACCAGAGUCCUGCCGGGAUCCAGGCUGGCCCACGGGGGCAGGUGGACGCUGCUGCCCGUGGUUGUCUGCAGCUUCCGGAGGCGUGGGCUUCCGAGGCCUGUAGGCUUGAGCACUGGGCGUCGUGGGAUUCUCACACCCCGCACACCUGGCAGGUGGAGGUGGCUGCGGGGCUAGAUGCUCUCACUCCGCUGGUGGUCGUGCACACGGGAGACAUGACUUUCCAAGCACGUCAGAUGAACUUUGACGUUAUAAUCUCUUCACUUCUUCAGUCUUUAGAAAGCGAGUAUGUUGCACGUCUGGGGGACGUGUUGUCCUCGUUCUGUGGUUUCUGUGGUUCACCUUUCACGUGGUGCUUUCUUAAUCCAGGUGAGUGUUGCACUGGUUCGUUUCUGGCUGCCUCCCCAGCACUCAUCCCAGAACGUGUCCUUGUGCUGCUGCUCAUGGAUAAGGUUUUCUUCUGUAAUAAAAGUCUGCUCUAAAAAAAAAAAAAAAAAAAAAAAAAAAAAAAAAGUCUGCUCUGUUCACUGGGUCCAGUCAUCUCCCUGCAGUUUGGGGGUGCAGUCAGGACCCCCCAGGGAGGUGCUGGGUCUGGCCUCAGGCCUGCAGAGCCAGACACCCAACUGGCCACUGCCUCAAGGUAACCAAACUUGUAAGAGACUGACAUAAUCGGAGAAGGAAUCCACUGACUUAGGAUGAGAGUGACUCCUGUGGGACAAAAUACUGUGUCCCUCUGUAGACACAGCUGUCCCGGCCCCAGGUUCUGGGGGACUAGAGGUUCCUUGGUUGCCUGAUGCCUGCGGUCAUAACCCUGGAGGGGGUCUGGGAGACCCCGACCUCGUGAGACCCUGGGAUGAUGCCCUGCAAGCACUGAGUGCUGAAGAGCCUGGGUUGGGCCCCUGUCCCAUACCCUUGCUCGUUUGCCUUCCAAGGAAGAGCUGUCCUCUUGAGGGCAGCCCUGCCCCCCAGAAGGGUACACAGGAAUACCUGGAGACAUUCUUGGUUGUCUCCGCUGAGGGGAGGGGCCACCAGACCCUGCAGAGCACAGUAUGCCUGGGGGCAAGGACCAGGCCAAGGAUGGGACUGCAAAGUCCCCGCACAGUCAGGUGAUGGGGAGACGCCCGAGGGCAGACAGAGGAGCAGCACUGUGGGCCAGGGCUUUGGGUGGCAAAACCAGGGGCCAGGCAGCUUUCUGCAGAGACCCAGACACUUGACAGGAGGCCUGUUGAGGCUGAAGAGCGGGAGCCGAGCCUCCAAGGCAUCUGGCACCCCACUAAAGGGCCACACAGGAGGGGGUGAGGGGAGACUGAGGAGGGGGUGGGAGAGGCGAGCCCCAGCCACCUCUGUGCGUUCGUUGGGGGCCAUGUGUCCAGAACAGAACUCGGCUGUGGCCAUUGCCCCAUCCCAGAAAGUGGGCCAGCUGCCACACUCCAGCCCAAACGCCAGGUUGUCGUGCCCCACAUCCCAGCAAACAGCAGGUAA